CAAAAGAAUAAUAUGUGAAAAAAUGAACACCAGAGAAAAAAAGAAAAGUGCACGAAAAGUAAUAGUCGUUUUGUAUGAGCAUGAUAAAAGCUUACUAGUAUUAUGAAACAUAGGAACGUAUCAUCGCUUAGAAAAAAGAAUAGUACAAUCGUCCUAGUAUGUUACUUCUACCUCACCAAAAGACUAUGUAUAUUAGAGACCACACGCCUGUAUGUAUGUAGGAUGACCUAUUUUAGUCUUUAAUGAACCUUUCUCUACAAGUGUAUCGAACGAAAAAAGGAGAAUUUCAAAGAGAACUUCACAUAAAAAGCUUUAAAAAUGAAUAUAUGAAAUAUUCCUAUACUUAAAUACUUCUGUAAUUAUUAUAUUUUUUUUCUUCAAUUUUUUUAUCAUUUUAUAUUAUGUACUAACCGUAUAAUUAGCAAGUGAUAAACUUUUUAUUGUAAAAAUAUUUUGUAUUGUAAAAAAUAUUAAUUUGAUAGGUAAUUAGGGAAGAAAUUUUUUACACCAGAAAAAUAAUACUGAAAAUAAAAUUCCUAUGAUCUAGUAAAAUCCCUACGAUCUUACUCCCUAGAGUAACACAAUUCCCCACUCUUUCGUUAAAACUGUGUCACGUGGUAUCCAUUAGUUCCGAUCGCGACGCGUCGAUUAUUUGGCGUUUUGUGUUCAUGGCGAAGCCUGAAAGAAGUCUUGGGAGGAAGCCGUUGCAAGCCACCCUAAAGAAGAAGUAUAACUUCCACGAACAAUAGCCGGUCGUUAUCUUGACCGGCGCUUCGCCGCACGCAUUGUACUCGCGUUGUAUCCUUUCCGUGAACACGAUCGCCUCAACAAUGCACUGCCAUUGACUCUCUUUCACUGGAUCGUUGGAUCAGAAUGUGCAAGAAAGAAGAAGCAGAUAGAAAGUUUCUGAGUUAAACAAUUACUUAUUAUAUUUGAUUAUUAAAUUUAAUAAUCACAUUCCAAAACAAAAAUAACAAUAAAUAUAUUAAUAACCUCCACUUACCAUCCAUCAUGUGUCGAAGUACUUAGAUGUUAAUCUUCUGGAAAAAUAUUUGCCCAAGAAGAGGAGUGUGGCCGUAAUAAAAAGCGGCGCAUAGAUGCAUCCCUGCACGGCAGUAAAGACGCCGGCCGAGACAUCCAACGAGGGAGCAGCAAACCGUUCGGAAUAUUUCGUUUCUGGCGGAAGCGUGUCGGUGUUAUCUCCGCCUCUGGCGUCAGUCGGAGCCCAGCCACGUUCGACUCGUGGCGACUUUCGUCUGAAUAAUUUCUGGUAUCUCAUUGACCCAUCUUGGGAACGCACGUAGAAGAAGGCGGGUUUCGAGCGACAGCUUUGUGGCGCCUCCGCGAUUAGAAAAAUUAAGAAACCAAAGAAGGUGGAUUAAGGAUCGCGCAUAUAUUCGAGAUAAUUUUGCGUGCUGCGAAAUAUUUAAGAAUGGCUAUAAAAGUUGAUGAUUGUAUAAUCAUAGUUAAAUCUAAAGUCAUCUGAAAAUCGAUGAUAUUGUGUUAGAUCACUGAAUUUGUCUUUCUGAUGUUAGCCGUUAGUAAUAUCAUCGAAAUUAAUCGUUGAUAUUAAUUUUUUUAUUGAAAAAAGAAAAAUUCUUUAGAAAUUUUUAAUAUUUAAAUAUGUAGUCAAUUGAAAAAUGAUUAA